rnacentral:rRNA from 1 species
UACGAAGGGGGCUAGCGUUGUUCGGAAUCACUGGGCGUAAAGCGCACGUAGGCGGGCGUGUCAGUCAGGGGUGAAAUCCCGGAGCUCAACUCCGGAACUGCCUUCGAUACUGCGGGUCUCGAGUCCGGGAGAGGUGAGUGGAAUUCCUAGUGUAGAGGUGAAAUUCGUAGAUAUUGGGAAGAACACCGGUGGCGAAGGCGGCCAUCUGGACCGGAACUGACGCUGAGGCGCGAAAGCCAGGGGAGCGAAUGGG